ensembl:rRNA 5S_rRNA 5S ribosomal RNA
GCUUACGGCCAUACCACCUUAGGCACGCCCGAUCUCGAUCUCGUCUGAUCUAGGAAGCUAAGCAGGGUCGGGCCUGGUUAGUACUUGGAUGGGUGACCGCCUGGGAAUACCAGGUGCUGUAAGCA